UCUGCCUACGGGGCGCAGCAGUGAGGAAUAUUGGUCAAUGGGCGGGAGCCUGAACCAGCCAAGUCGCGUGAGGGAAGAAGGUACUGAGUAUUGUAAACCUCUUUUGCCAGGGGACAAAGGCGGCCACGGGUGGCCGUAAGAGGGUACCUGGAGAAAAAGCAUCGGCUAACUACGUGCCAGCAGCCGCGGUAAUACGUAGGGGGCAAGCGUUAUCCGGAUUUACUGGGUGUAAAGGGAGCGUGGACGGCUGUGCAAGUCUGAAGUGAAAGCCCGUGGCUCAACCGCGGAACUGCUUUGGAAACUGU
rnacentral:rRNA from 1 species